rnacentral:rRNA from 2 species
UCCGGGAAACCGGGGCUAAUACCGGAUAACAUUUUGAACCGCAUGGUUCGAAAUUGAAAGGCGGCUUCGGCUGUCACUUAUGGAUGGACCCGCGUCGCAUUAGCUAGUUGGUGAGGUAACGGCUCACCAAGGCAACGAUGCGUAGCCGACCUGAGAGGGUGAUCGGCCACACUGGGACUGAGACACGGCCCAGACUCCUACGGGAGGCAGCAGUAGGGAAUCUUCCGCAAUGGACGAAAGUCUGACGGAGCAACGCCGCGUGAGUGAUGAAGGCUUUCGGGUCGUAAAACUCUGUUGUUAGGGAAGAACAAGUGCUAGUUGAAUAAGCUGGCACCUUGACGGUACCUAACCAGAAAGCCACGGCUAACUACGUGCCAGCAGCCGCGGUAAUACGUAGGUGGCAAGCGUUAUCCGGAAUUAUUGGGCGUAAAGCGCGCGCAGGUGGUUUCUUAAGUCUGAUGUGAAAGCCCACGGCUCAACCGUGGAGGGUCAUUGGAA